GGGGGGAGCAAGCGUUGUUCGGAUUUACUGGGCGUAAAGGGCGCGUAGGCGGCCACCGCAAGUCAGUUGUGAAAUCUCUGGGCUUAACCCAGAAAGGUCAACUGAUACUGCGGGGCUAGAGUGCAGAAGGGGCAACUGGAAUUCUCGGUGUAGCGGUGAAAUGCGUAGAUAUCGAGAGGAACACCUGCGGCGAAGGCGGGUUGCUGGGCUGACACUGACGCUGAUGUGCGAAAGCUAGGGGAGCGAACGGGAUUAGAUACCCCGGUAGUCCUAGCCUUAAACGAUGAAUGCUUGGUGUCUGGGGUUUUAUAGUCCCCGGGUGCCGUCGCUAACGCUUUAAGCAUUCCGCCUGGGGAGUACGGUCGCAAGACUG
rnacentral:rRNA from 2 species